rnacentral:rRNA from 1 species
GAUGAACGCUAGCGGCAGGCCUAAUACAUGCAAGUCGGACGGGAUUGAGGAGCUUGCUUCUCAUGAGAGUGGCGCACGGGUGCGUAACACGUAUGUAACCUACCUUAGUCAGGGGGAUAGCCUCUCGAAAGAGAGAUUAACACCGCAUAACAUUAUGAUAUGGCAUCAUAUUAUAAUCAAAUAUUUAUAGGACUAAGAUGGGCAUGCGGAACAUUAGCUAGUUGGUAAGGUAACGGCUUACCAAGGCUACGAUGUUUAGGGGAUCUGAGAGGAGGACCCCCCACGAUGGUACUGAGACACGGACCAGACUCCUACGGGAGGCAGCAGUAAGGAAUAUUGGUCAAUGGACGCAAGUCUGAACCAGCCAUGCCGCGUGCAGGAAGACGGCCCUACGGGUUGUAAACUGCUUUUGUACCGGAAUAAACCUUUGUAUGUAUACGAAGCUGAAUGUACGGUAAGAAUAAGGAUCGGCUAACUCCGUGCCAGCAGCCGCGGUAA